rnacentral:snRNA from 1 species
CGAUGUGUGGGCAACCUGGUUGCAGCAUCUGGCAAUCACCAGGGUUGAUUCUGCUGAUCGGGCUGGCUAGGUGGGUGACCCCUUCACCCCUCAGAGCUCCAUGUGCUCCCUCCCAAAGCUGUGCGCUUGGUGCAAGAGGACCGCCCAUGAUACAAGAGGAGCGUUACUUGGUCAAGGGGACACAAGUAGCUGCACUGCCCUGUUAGAACCUCCAAACAAGCUCUCAAGGCUAGAUGAACAUUUAUAACAAUGUUUGAUGACUCAUCCACAUGGCUGACACUGACAAAGGUUCUACAAUCUGAGGUACAGGAUCUCAAGAU